UCCAACUUAACGUUGGCAGUCUCUUUAGAGUGCCCAACUUAAUGCUGGCAACUAAAGAUAAGGGUUGCGCUCGUUGCGGGACUUAACCCAACAUCUCACGACACGAGCUGACGACAGCCAUGCAGCACCUGUUACUUUGUCCCUUGCGGGUCUUCUAUAUCUCUAUAGCGUUCAAAGAAUGCCAAACCCAGGUAAGGUUUUUCGCGUUGCAUCGAAUUAAACCACAUUCUCCACCGCUUGUGCGGGCCCCCGUCAAUUUCUUUGAGUUUUAAUCUUGCGACCGUACUCCCCAGGCGGGAUACUUAACGCGUUAGCUCCGUCACUGAAGGGGUCAAUACCUUCAACAACAAGUAUCCAUCGUUUACGGCGUGGACUAC
rnacentral:misc_RNA from 1 species